GGUCAAUCAUGGUGCUUAUUGAAGGAAACCUCAGUUCAGAGCAGCUUCAGUUCUUUGAUUCUAAUGGGUAUUUGGUGUUAGAAUCAUUUGCAAGCCAAGAAGAGAUCCAGUCUAUGAGGAAGAGAAUGGAAGAGUUGCUUGAUGAGUUUGAUUGUUCUUCAGAUACUUCUGUUUUUUCUACCAAGAAUCAACAACAAACGACUAAUGAUCACUUCUUUGAAAGUGCUGAG
rnacentral:misc_RNA from 1 species